rnacentral:lncRNA from 1 species
GCCUUCAAAGGAUCAGAUGAUUUCUCAGACAUAUUAACUAUAGGAUCUUUCCCCUCCUUGUAAGUUGACUUAAUAGACAGAGGAGAGAAAUAGAUGGAGAAGUGGUGGGAAGGCAGCCCUAGGAAGAAAAGGGCAGGAAGGAGAAGACUGCUUCUUGAGCCAUCUUUGGAGGUUUUGUGCUGUAGUCACCACCAGGGCUUCUGAGAAGAGAGGCUUUCUGCUGAAAUUUUCCUUCAUCAGUUGUACUCUGGCUCUGUGAAACAACAUGUGAGUAGCUCUAUACACCUCAGAUUUCCACUGGUCUGAGUAAAUCACUUGGGCAGUGGUGGGAUAGAUUCAGGGGAUUCAUGAUCCUUGGAUAAAACUGAUCCUGCACCACCUUCUCCACUUGAGUUUGUCUUGUCCUUCAGGGCAAAGCUCUCUGUACGAGGUCCUGCUGUUCGGAGCUGACAUGAGCCCCUGGGUUUCUGUAUCACAGGCUGGUUUCUACUGUGUUUAAAACAAGUUACAUGUGAUGCUGGGGGAAGUGGCACACUACCUGUACUGUGCUGGAUAUGCUCACACUAAGCUGUUGCUGUUUUAGUUUGUUUGAGUUUUGCUU